UCACUUUAAAGAGACUGCCGGUGUUAAGCCGGAGGAAGGUGGGGAUGACGUCAAGUCCUCAUGGCCUUUAUGCCCAGGGCUACACACGUGCUACAAUGGGCGGUACAAAGAGAAGCAACCUCGCGAGGGUGAGCAAAUCUCAAAAAGCCGUUCUCAGUUCGGAUUGAAGUCUGCAACUCGACUUCAUGAAGUCGGAAUCGCUAGUAAUCGCGGAUCAGCAUGCCGCGGUGAAUACGUUCCCGGGCCUU
rnacentral:rRNA from 1 species